rnacentral:rRNA from 1 species
AGUAGUGAUAUGCUUGUCUCAAAGAUUAAGCCAUGCAUGUGCAAGUUCACCCCCCUGGAGGGGAAGACUGCGGAUGGCUCAUUAAAUCAGCCGUUGUUUGUUUGGUCGUGACCGACGUUGGUUCAUAACUGUGGCAAUUCUAGAGCUAAUACAUGCACGAUAGGCGCCGAUCCCUGCUCCUCCUCACCAGGGGGGGGCAGCCUUUUUGGAGAGGCGUGCUUUUAUUAGACAAGACCUUUGUCCGCCCCUUGAAGGAUGGGGGGCGAGGCAAUCUGUGUUGACUCUGGAUAACUCAUGCGGAUCGCACGGGCGAGGGUGUGCCCAGCGACACACCAUUUAGGCGUCUGACCCAUCAGCUAGUCGGCCGGAGCUGUGCCGGCCGAGGAAGCGACGGGUACAGAGAAUCAGGGUUCGAUUCUGGAGAGGGAGCCUGAGAAACGGCUACCACUUCCAAGGAAGGCAGCAGGCGCGAAAAUUACCCACUCCCGACCCGGGGAGGUAGUGACGAGAAAUGACGGCAGGCGUCUCCUACCACGAGGCUGUCAGGCUGGAAUGAGGUGAACACAAAGCACUCCCAUGAUAUCUAGUCGAGGGCAAGUCUGGUGCCAGCAGCCGCGGUAACUCCAGCUCGACUAGCGUAUGCGAAAGUUGUUG